rnacentral:rRNA from 1 species
GAUGAACGCUGGCGGCGUGCCUAAUACAUGCAAGUCGAGCGAACAGACGAGGAGCUUGCUCCUCUGACGUUAGCGGCGGACGGGUGAGUAACACGUGGAUAACCUAUCUAUAAGACUGGGAUAACUUCGGGAAACCGGAGCUAAUACCGGAUAAUAUAUUGAACCGCAUGGUUCAAUAGUGAAAGACGGUUUUGCUGUCACUUAUAGAUGGAUCCGCGCCGCAUUAGCUAGUUGGUAAGGUAACGGCUUACCAAGGCGACGAUGCGUAGCCGACCUGAGAGGGUGAUCGGCCACACUGGAGCUGAGACACGGUCCAGACUCCUACGGGAGGCAGCAGUAGGGAAUCUUCCGCAAUGGGCGAAAGCCUGACGGAGCAACGGCGCGUGAGUGAUGAAGGUCUUCGGAUCGUAAAACUCUGUUAUUAGGGAAGAACAAAUGUGUAAGUAACUAUGCACGUCUUGACGGUACCUAAUCAGAAAGCCACGGCUAACUACGUG